UAAACCUAUGUCCUCUGGUUCUCGAUUCCCCUACUCUGGGCAAGAGACUCCGCGCGCCUACCCGAUCUAUUCCACUCAUGAUUUUGUACACCUGUUUGAGAUCACUCUUCAUCCUCCCGUUCUCGAAGGAAUAGG